rnacentral:tRNA from 1 species
ACCUGGCGGGCUCCGUCAGUAGAGCUUGUGACUCUUGAUCUCAGGGCUGUGAGUUCAAGCCCCACGUUAGGUG